CCCGUGGAGUUCAUGGCCUCCUAUUAUUUAGCAGAUUUGUUUUUGCAUCCUGGUUGAACCUUCUAGUUUGAGAGGAAAAAAAACUCUAUCGGGAUCAUAUAUGUGCCUUUGCAGGGACGCGGGGGGCAUAACCUAACAAAUGUGUGGGGUCAAUUGGUAAGGACUGCUUUCCGUUUGUUAUUCCUCCAGAGGUAGGAACUUUAGGCGAGUACUGUUUCCCAAGGGGACGCUACUGAGAAGCUGGCUCACCAAGUCCCGGCCCAGACUGCUGCUGCUCAUCGCGGGGUUGAAAAGGCCUCAGGUGACCCUCAUGCGGAGGAAGAGGAUGAAACGCACGAAAGUAGCAAAGGCCACGUAAGCGAACCUGCAAUCGAAUGCCGCAUUUCACUUGAGGUCUUGGCAAAGAGGAUCUCCCCACCGGAGUUCGAUAUGGAAGACAUGGAAGAACUACGUUUUGAAUCUUUGUCGAAGCAACGAACUAAACGCCAAAGCAAACAGAAAAGAGGUUUACCGUCUUUUGUGAAAACAAGGGAUCUGCAACAGAGAUCUAGACCCCCUGAUUAAAUCGAGAUCUUCUCCUACACGCCCAUUUGUAUAUCUCUUCAAAUCCAAAUUUGUUAUGGUUCAUUAUAGUACAAUGAGUGUGACUUGUACAUUAUUUACAUCCAGUGGCAUACAUUUAGUUUAACAGAACUGACUAUCGCUGUGUUCUUAGGGUAGAUCUUUUCUAGUCAGAGAAUGAUUUGUUGUUUCACAUAAGCAAAUUUGUGUUUGAGUGGGUGAAUAAGAAAAUAGUGCCUCUCCAUGGCUAGCAGGUGCAAAUAUCUAAACCACAGUAGGUACACACGAUUAAUGCAACUCUGGGCCAAUGAAAGAGUCGCCAUUAACAAUCUGACCCAUCAUUUUUCCUUAUUUUACAUAAACCAUCCAAGUGACUUGAAAGGAGGAAAAAGAGAGCGAGAAGGGGUAAAACCUUGAUGUAAACAUUCAAAAAUCUAAUCAAAUUGUAUUGGUCACAUACACAUAUUUUGCAGAUGUUAUUGCAGAUGUAGCAAAAUGCUUGUUUUCCUUUACAAAUAGGUACCAAUUCUAGGCAACACUUUUACACUCAAAUCAUAAAGCCUACUUUUGCAGUGCCAUGGACAGGACAGAAAAUCUGUUUGGCAAUUAACAUUUUGUUAAUUUUUUUACUACAUUAUCUAAUAUUGCCUAUUGUAUUAAGGUGAAUGGCAAGCUUUCACAAAUCAGGUAUCAUGAAACAAACCGCUUAAAAUAUCAUAUGACACUGCAAUGUAUCGGCAAGGUUUCAAGUAAAGCAAGUUAAUAUUUUGGUAAAGUUUAUUUUACCAACCCAAGUAAUACACUUUUUUUUAAAUCAGAUCAUAAAUUACAUAAACAUUACAAUGACUUAACCUCGCUAGCAAAAAAAGUUUGCACCAUUUGAAAGUUAUAGUUAACACAAUUAACAAUUUAUAGAUUUGUUUGUCUUACUUUUAUAAUCAUAUUGUCAUUUUUGCUAACAUGAGAUGGGAAGCACAAUGUCUCACCAUACAAAAAUAUAAGUAUCGUUUUUCACAUUGAUAGCAAUCUUUGAGUAUUAUAAAUUAUUCAUUUUUCCAUGGUUACACUUUAUACCAAGUUGUCCCAUUUCACAUGUAAAUACAUUAACUUUCGUUACACAAUCUUCAAAGGACAAAAUUGGAAUAGUCAAAAUGAACGUAGAUAAUUACUAAACUCUAGUUCAAGCUCAACUUUGGUUUGAACCACACACAUUGAAAUUCCUCCAACAACGCGUCACUCAGAGGAACAUCAGCUUUGUUACUCAUGCUCUAACAAAUUAUUUCUUAAAACAAUAAACUGCCAACUUAAUAUAAAGUGUGACCAGAUACAUUCUCAUGGAUUAAUGCGGUCGCUUUGUUUCAAUGUGUAUUUGUUCUAAACUGUACUUAAGUGAUUCAUAUUUUUAACAUGUUUCAUAAUUGUGAA